rnacentral:rRNA from 1 species
ACGAACGCUGGCGGCGUGCUUAACACAUGCAAGUCGAACGAUGAACCACUUCGGUGGGGAUUAGUGGCGAACGGGUGAGUAACACGUGGGCAAUCUGCCCUUCACUCUGGGACAAGCCCUGGAAACGGGGUCUAAUACCGGAUAUGAGCCUGGGAGGCAUCUCCCGGGUUGUAAAGCUCCGGCGGUGAAGGAUGAGCCCGCGGCCUAUCAGCUUGUUGGUGAGGUAACGGCUCACCAAGGCGACGACGGGUAGCCGGCCUGAGAGGGCGACCGGCCACACUGGGACUGAGACACGGCCCAGACUCCUACGGGAGGCAGCAGUGGGGAAUAUUGCACAAUGGGCGCAAGCCUGAUGCAGCGACGCCGCGUGAGGGAUGACGGCCUUCGGGUUGUAAACCUCUUUCAGCAGGGAAGAAGCGCAAGUGACGGUACCUGCAGAAGAAGCGCCGGCUAACUACGUGCCAGCAGCCGCGGUAAUACGUAGGGCGCAAGCGUUGUCCGGAAUUAUUGGGCGUAAAAGAGCUCGUAUGCGGCUUGUCACGUCGGGUGUGAAAGCCCGGGGGCUUAACCCCGGGUCUGCAUUCCGAUACUGGCUGGUUAGAGUGUGUAGGGGACAUC